rnacentral:rRNA from 1 species
AGUUCAUUCUUGUCUCAAAGAUUAAGCCAUGCAUGUCUAAGUAUAAGCAAUCUAUACAGUGAAACUGCGAAUGGCUCAUUAAAUCAGUUAUCGUUUAUUUGAUAGUACCUUACUACUUGGAUAACCGUGGUAAUUCUAGAGCUAAUACAUGCUAAAAAUCCCGACCUCCGGAAGGGAUGUAUUUAUUAGAUAAAAAACCGAUGCCUUCGGGCUCUUUGGUGAUUCAUGAUAACUUAACGAAUCGCAUGGCCUUGCGCCGGCGAUGGUUCAUUCAAAUUUCUGCCCUAUCAACUUUCGAUGGUAGGAUAGUGGCCUACCAUGGUUUCAACGGGUAACGGGGAAUUAGGGUUCUAUUCCGGAGAGGGAGCCUGAGAAACGGCUACCACAUCCAAGGAAGGCAGCAGGCGCGCAAAUUACCCAAUCCCGACACGGGGAGGUAGUGACAAUAAAUACUGAUACAGGGCUCUUUUGGGUCUUGUAAUUGGAAUGAGUACAAUUUAAAUCCCUUAACGAGGAACAAUUGGAGGGCAAGUCUGGG